GAGUUUGAUCCUGGCUCAGAACGAACGCUGGCGGCGUGCUUAACACAUGCAAGUCGAACGUGAUCCGGAGCUUGCUCCGGUGAAAGUGGCGCACGGGUGAGUAACGCGUGGAUAAUCAGCCCUGGUAUCUGGGAUAACAUCUCGAAAGGGGUGCUAAUACCGGAUAAGCCCACGGGAUCCUCGGAUUCUGCGGGAAAAGGUGGCCUCUAUUUAUAAGCUACCGUAUCAGGAUGAGUCCGCGUACCAUUAGCUAGUUGGUGGGGUAAUGGCCCACCAAGGCUACGAUGGUUAGCUGGUCUGAGAGGAUGAUCAGCCACACUGGAACUGARACACGGUCCAGACUCCUACGGGAGGCAGCAGUGGGGAAUUUUGCGCAAUGGGCGAAAGCCUGACGCAGCAACGCCGCGUGAGUGAUGAAGGCCUUCGGGUCGUAAAGCUCUGUCAGUGGGGAAGAACCGCCGGGUGGUUAAUACCUGCCUGGUCUGACGGUACCCACAAAGGAAGCACCGGCUAACUCCGUGCCAGCAGCCGCGGUAAUAC
rnacentral:rRNA from 1 species